rnacentral:rRNA from 1 species
GUGGGGAAUAUUGGACAAUGGGCGCAAGCCUGAUCCAGCCAUGCCGCGUGAGUGAUGAAGGCCUUAGGGUUGUAAAGCUCUUUCACCGGUGAAGAUAAUGACGGUAACCGGAGAAGAAGCCCCGGCUAACUUCGUGCCAGCAGCCGCGGUAAUACGAAGGGGGCUAGCGUUGUUCGGAAUUACUGGGCGUAAAGCGCACGUAGGCUGAUAUUUAAGUCAGGGGUGAAAUCCCGGGGCUCAACCCCGGAACUGCCUUUGAUACUGGGUAUCUUGAGUAUGGAAGAGGUCAGUGGAAUUGCGAGUGUAGAGGUGAAAUUCGUAGAUAUUCGCAGGAACACCAGUGGCGAAGGCGGCUGACUGGUCCAUUACUGACGCUGAGGUGCGAAAGCGUGGGGAGCAAACAGGAUUAGAAACCCGAGUAGUCC